UACGGAGGGAGCUAGCGUUGUUCGGAAUUACUGGGCGUAAAGCGCGCGUGGGCGGCUUUGUAAGUUAGAGGUGAAAGCCCGGGGCUCAACCCCGGAACUGCCUUUAAAACUGCAUCGCUUGAAUCCAGGAGAGGUGAGUGGAAUUCCGAGUGUAGAGGUGAAAUUCGUAGAUAUUCGGAAGAACACCAGUGGCGAAGGCGGCUCACUGGACUGGUAUUGACGCUGAGGUGCGAAAGCGUGGGGAGCAAACAGGG
rnacentral:rRNA from 1 species